CACUCCUACGGGAGGCAGCAGUGGGGAAUUUUGGACAAUGGGCGAAAGCCUGAUCCAGCCAUGCCGCGUGCAGGAUGAAGGCCUUCGGGUUGUAAACUGCUUUUGUACGGAACGAAACGGCCCUUUCUAAUAAAGAGGGCUAAUGACGGUACCGUAAGAAUAAGCACCGGCUAACUACGUGCCAGCAGCCGCGGUAAUACGUAGGGUGCAAGCGUUAAUCGGAAUUACUGGGCGUAAAGCGUGCGCAGGCGGUUAUGUAAGACAGUUGUGAAAUCCCCGGGCUCAACCUGGGAACUGCAUCUGUGACUGCAUAGCUAGAGUACGGUAGAGGGGGAUGGAAUUCCGCGUGUAGCAGUGAAAUGCGUAGAUAUGCGGAGGAACACCGAUGGCGAAGGCAAUCCCCUGGACCUGUACUGACGCUCAUGCACGAAAGCGUGGGGAGCAAACAGGAUUAGAAACCCGUGUAGUCC
rnacentral:rRNA from 1 species